GUUUUCGUUUUUUGCCUUGAUAAACAAGGAGGAAUUAGAUGGAAUAGAGACCGUUAACAUGCUAUUAAGAAGAAAUUGGUGGCUGGAAAAAGUCCGAUGAUUGUUUAGGAGAGUUCGGGAAGGGGUAUGACUGAGUAGUACUGGAUAAUUUUUUUUCCCCUAAUUUGAACAAAGGUUAUAUUUGUAGUAUAAUCUUGCUGUAUUUAUCAAUAAUGUGUUUUAAUUAGUGCGUUUUUACUUUUUAUAAAGUGGUGCAAAAACAAAAAUCAUGGUGGUAAUAUAGCCACCCAUAAUAAAUUACCCUAAUUUCAUAACCUAAUUGUUGAGACUUUUUCGAUUUUAUUGGUAGUUAAAUUUAUACUUUGAUAUACAUACAUACUUAUAUAGAUAUAUGUAU
rnacentral:lncRNA from 1 species